CGUGGUAUCCUGUCUGAAUAUGGGGGGACCAUCCUCCAAGGCUAAAUACUCCUGACUGACCGAUAGUGAACCAGUACCGUGAGGGAAAGGCGAAAAGAACCCCGGCGAGGGGAGUGAAAAAGAACCUGAAACCGUGUACGUACAAGCAGUGGGAGCACGCUUAGGCGUGUGACUGCGUACCUUUUGUAUAAUGGGUCAGCGACUUAUAUUCUGUAGCAAGGUUAACCGAAUAGGGGAGCCGAAGGGAAACCGAGUCUUAACUGGGCGUUAAGUUGCAGGGUAUAGACCCGAAACCCGGUGAUCUAGCCAUGGGCAGGUUGAAGGUUGGGUAACACUAACUGGAGGACCGAACCGACUAAUGUUGAAAAAUUAGCGGAUGACUUGUGGCUGGGGGUGAAAGGCCAAUCAAACCGGGAGAUAGCUGGUUCUCCCCGAAAGCU
rnacentral:rRNA from 1 species